CUUGUGAAUCGUCUUUUUACACACAUGGAGUUCUGAGACAAACUUUCCGCCGGUCUCGGCUAAAAUCUACCCGUGUCACUCGGUUAUUUUCGGAAACCACGUGAUGGCCUGCUGAUGACAUUUCCGCAUGGUUUUCAAAGUCAGAGCAUGAUGGUUUGUUUAAUGCGCUGUUUUUUUAAUGAACAGCGGAACGUUAGAUGCAUUCUUCAUCACCAUCAUCAUCAUGUUAGUGAUAGUCAGUUUGUGUUAGUUUAUUGGUUCAACUUUCUUCAUUUUUGUGUAUUCAGUCAAGCGGGUCAAAGUUACAAAGCACUUCACAUCUUAUUAAUCGGCCUAGUUUUACCUUACCAGUGCAGUUGUAAGGUAACAUUAAAUGUUAUAAUAUUCAUCGUGUCCUUUCUACUGUAUAUGAAUACUUUCCUGUCUAUUGCUUUCAUUUGUAUACUUAAUGUUGUUAUGUUUAUACUUGUUUCCACACAUUUCACAAUUUGGGAUGAAUGAAGUAUCUAUCUAUCUAUCUAUCUAUCUAUCUAUCUAUCUAUCUAUCUAUCUAUCUAUCUAUCUAUCUAUCUAUCUAUCUAUCUAUCUAUCUAUCUAUCUAUCUAUCUAUCUAUCUAUCUACAUACACUCACUCUUAAAAAUGCUGGGUUAUUUCUAUAAACACAUUGCUGGGUUGAUUUGGCUGGGUCAUAAUUAUGGGUUAUUUGGGUACUGUAAACACACUGGUGGGUUGUUCAUGCUGGGUCAAAGGGGUUAUUAGGGCUUCAAUUGCAGUUGAACACCCGCCUGGGUUAUUUUUUAACCCAGAGGUUGCUUUAUUCAUUUUCCCACUUCUGAAUCAUUCUGGAAUCAUCUUUUUCAAAACACAAGGUAUGUAACCUAUAUUUUACCUAUAUUUAUAUAAUUAUACAAUUCUGUAACCUAUAUUUUUUUAAUGAGUUGUGAUAACAGUUCAAUAGGGAUCUGUAGGCAUUUAACAGACUGUGCAAAGUAUAACAUUAGCAGUUAACGUCGGCUACAAAUGUUUUACAUUUCUGUCAAUGAGUGAAAGAGCCUUGAAUUUACGUUGUGAUGCGAUGAAUUAUUAUUUUACAAAGACGUGUGUUCUACUAGUAGUUAUAAAUGGGUCUGAACUAUAGCUUUGGAUUUGUGUGCAAAAGUAUUAGAUGUACAAUAAGGCAGUAUAAAUCAGAUGGCUUUUACGUCACAACUCUCUUUCCCAGCAUGCAGCUCGGGCGCGGGCUUUCACACAUACGGACAGACAGACGACAAUGAAGCUCAUUUAUGUAGGUAAGUUUAGGUUACUAGAGUUAUUUAUUAAUUACAUUAAUCAUUAAAGUUAGCAACUAUUGAAGUUAUUUUUAGGAGUGAGUGACCGGAGUCACCGAACCACAUAAUGUAACAUUUUAGUUCCCUGCCAUCGACGUGUUACCAUAGGUUAGCUUAGCUUAGCAUAGCACACCAACCAGCUAGGUCGUGUCAGGGGCAAAUAAUAAUAAUUCGUGAAUGAUUAAAAUGUCUUCAUGGAGAGAUUUGGCAGACCCCCUGUAGUAACUGUACAUUAGUAGCUUGGUACCUUACAAUAAAUGUUAAAACAUUGCACAGUUUUGUGAAAUUCUAAUGUACUUAAUCUGAUUUGAUUCUAGUAGAGGGUUUCACCAUGGACACGUUUGUCAGAGACGUUGACUGCAUGGCAGCUUGAGAACUUGAUUGACACAUUUAAAGGGAGCUUGGUACACACCUGGCCGAAAUCACAAACCUGCUACAGGUUUCCUGGAGGAGCGCUUGAGGAACGUCAGGAAGCGCAUGAGAAUGCUGAAACGACCACGCCACCAAGAACAACAGAAGGAACAGACCGUCCCUAGUACACCAGAAUAUGAUGUGCCUCCUGAAAAACUUCUAGAAAUGGUUGAAUGGAUGAAGGUCAAUAGGUAUCCAGUGUCCCAAGUUGAGGACUACAUGAAUCAAACAGCUCUACAUAGAGGCAAGUGGAUUCGCAGCAAUGGAUCUAAAAGCCUCCCGGAAAUCUUGACUGAGUUCCCUAGGCUUUUAGACAAUCCUGGCAUGGUAAGAAAUUAUUUUGCUAUUGCGGUUUUGUCUAUUUGAAUGAUACUCUAUUUGUGUUAGGAUUUGAGGUAAGGCAGGACCCAAAUGCAGAUUGAGGAAAAGCGGGUUUCAAAGUGUAACAAAAGGUGAGCUUUAAUUACAAAAAGUUGUUGACAAUGAAAAAACAAAACAAAACCAUGAAUCCAUAAACAGGUAGCACAAGGUAGCAUCCAGCCAAAAACGACAGUGACAAACAUGGAGGGUGACAGGAAAGACAAUGAACCGACAAGGAACACAGGGGAAGACAAGACUAAAUUGUAUUGUCAUACUGAUAUUCUGUACAAACUGUGAAGUCCACUGAGACAAAUGUAACAUUUGUGAUAUUGGGCUAUAUAAAUAAACAUUCAUUGAU